rnacentral:rRNA from 1 species
GAUGAACGCUGGCGGCGUGCCUAACACAUGCAAGUCGAACGGAAAGGCCCUGCUUUUGUGGGGUGCUCGAGUGGCGAACGGGUGAGUAACACGUGUGUAACCUGUCCUUGACUUUGGGAUAACUUCAGGAAACUGGGGCUAAUAUCGGAUAGGAGCUCCUGCUGCAUGGUGGGGGUUGGAAAGUUUCGGCGGUUGGGGAUGGACUCGCGGCUUAUCAGCUUGUUGGUGGGGUAGUGGCUUACCAAGGCGGUGACGGGUAGCCGGCCUGAGAGGGUGACCGGCCACAUUAGGACUGAGAUACGGCCCAGACGCCUACGGGAGGCAACAGUGGGAAAUAUUACACAGUAGGCGGAAGCCUGUGGCAGCAGCGCCGCGUGCGGGAUGACGGCCUUCUGGUUAUGAACCGCUGUCGCCUGAGACGAAGCGUUAGUGACGGUAAUGAGUAAAGAAGCACCGGCUAACUACGUG